GAAAGAUGACCACCACUGAACAAGACACACAAGCUGAAACAUCAAGACUGAUUUUUCUAAGGUUUUAUGGACUGAUGAAAUGAGAGUGAGUCUUGAUGGGCCAGAUGGAUGGGCACGUGGCUGGAUUGGUAAAGGGCAGAGAGCUCCAGUCCGACUCAGACGCCAGCAAGGUGGAGGUGGAGUAUUGGUUUGGGCUGGUAUCAUCAAAGAUGAGCUUGUGGGGCCUUUUCGGGUUGAG